rnacentral:lncRNA from 1 species
UUUUGCUUUUCAUCACCUGCAAGAUUUACAUAAAAAUCACAUAAGCUGGAAUUCAACAAAAGACCUCUGACUAUGUGAAGAUACGGUGGGAAGAUGACUGUCCACAAGACAGGAAGAGAGCCCUCACCGAGGAACCAAAUUGGCCAGUAUCUUGAUCUUGGAUUUCUCAGCCUCAAGAACCAUGAGAAAUGAAUGUCUGUUGUUCAAGCCACCCAGUCUAUGAAAAAGUUUGGAAACCUUCAUCUAGAAAGUGGUCUAGCAAAGUGUGGUCCAUGGAUGAGUUUGAUCUGCAAACUGCUUGUUAUUGGUUCAUGACAAGGUCCACCAAUUGCAUUUUGAGAGCUCAGAUAAGCAGAGAGCAAUGCAAUUUGUCACGGAAGGAUGAUUAUGUAUAUGCACUGUCAUGUCUAUUUCCACGCCUAACUCAAAAGAGACACAGGGAGAAAGUGAGCUCAGCCUGGAUAAAUUGGAAGUUGUGAUGACUUCUAGGAAGCCUCAGGAAAAAGAAACAAAGACAACACUGGCCUGCUGCUCUCUGCAAUGGUGGGACUCUUGUGGGACAACUGUUUUAGGAAUGAAGGUGUCUACCCUCUCUAGAAAUGAAAAUGCAAGUUUGGCUGUGGUUAAGUAUUGGAUGGAGGCAAAAAGAAACUGACAUAUUUGCUUCUUUUCAAUUGUUUGAUUCACCCUGAAGGGCAUGGCUGCCUAAUUUUUUUCUCCAGAGAUAGGUGGACAGAUAAAGACAGGAAAGUAACAUCCACAGACUGCCCUCUGUGAAGGUGACAGUGAUGAGAGGAAUGCUUGAUCUGAACAUUGGUAAAUAAAGUGACCGCGUAUUUCCCUAGCCAGGAGAGCAAUCUGGCUCAAAAGAAACGAGAACAAUGACAUUACUGCCAGGCUGCUCCUAAGCCUUUGGCUAUUCUGUUCAGUGCACAUAAAAAGCAGUGAACAUAGCUGUGACCUCCCUUGUUGGCAGUAUCACAAUUCUUUGGGGCUCCACUUUGAGAAAUUGAGACCUACCUACCUUAACCCUUGGGGGGUUAAGCUUUCAGACUGGAAUGAUAACUGAACUAUUCAUUUGCAGUAAUUCUGGGUUUUGUGCAUAUCUUAAAAAGGAAUACCGGGCUUGCCUAUAUUCAUUACAACAUCCUCCCAGCUUUCAAAUCUUCCAAUACAAUGCCUUUUCUCUAGUCUUUUAAGCACAUCCUGUGACUGGAUAUGAUUAUGGGAGAUUUACAUGCAUCCUUGUCUAUUGUAUCAAAAGAUCAGGGAAUAAAAUGCCCAUCAUUAAAACCCCAAAGUGAUUGGAUUGGCAUGAGGAAUGGG